UGGGGAAUCUUGCACAAUGGGGGCAACCCUGAUGCAGCGACGCCGCGUGAGCGAUGAAGCCCUUCGGGGCGUAAAGCUCUUUCGACCGGAACGAUAAUGACGGUACCGGGAGAAGAAGCUGCGGCUAACUACGUGCCAGCAGCCGCGGUAAUACGUAGGCAGCAAGCGUUGUUCGGAGUUACUGGGCGUAAAGAGUGCGUAGGCGGUUUUCUAAGUUCGGUGUGAGAUCUCCCGGCUUAACUGGGAGGGUGCGCCGAAGACUGGGAAGCUGGAGUGUGGGAAAGGCAGGCGGAAUUCCUGGUGUAGCGGUGAAAUGCGUAGAUAUCAGGAGGAACACCGGCGGUGUAGACGGCUUGCUAGACCAUAACUGACGCUGAGGCACGAAAGCGUGGGUAGCAAACA
rnacentral:rRNA from 1 species